GAUGAGCGCUGGCGGCAUGCCUAACACAUGCAAGUCGAUCGGUAAGGCUCUUCGGAGUACCCGAGAGGCGGACGGCUGAGUAACGCGUAGGAACACACCCUGCAGUGAGGGAUAAGACACCGAAAGGUGUUCUAAUACCGCAUACGGUCUUCGGAUUAAAGCAUUUAUGCGCUGAAGGAGUGGCCUGCGUCAUAUUAGAUAGUUGGUGAGGUAAUGGCUCACCAAGUCGAUGAUGUGUAGCUGGUCUGAGAGGAUGAUCAGCCAGACUGGAACUGAGACACGGUCCAGACUCCUACGGGAGGCAGCAGUGAGGAAUAUUUCACAAUGAGCGAAAGCUUGAUGGAGCAAUGCCGCGUGCAGGAUGAAGGCCCUCGGGUUGUAAACUGCUUUUAUAAGAGAAGAUUAUGACGGUAACUUAUGAAUAAGGGACGGCUAACUACGUG
rnacentral:rRNA from 1 species